rnacentral:rRNA from 1 species
ACCAGCUGAUCCUGCUGGCGGGCACUGCUAUUGAAAUCCGACUCAAACAUGCAAGUCUAACAGUUCAAGCUAUGAUGAACUGUGGCGAACGGCUCAGUAACACGUAGUCAACCUACCUUCAAGAAAAGUAAACCCCAGGAAACUGGGACUAAUGCUUUAUAGGCAAUAAAUACUGGAAGGUUUUAUUGCUCAAAGAAUUACAUUCAUGCAUGUAAUUCACUUGAAGACGGGACUGCGCUGGAUUAGGUUGUUGGCGGGGUAACUGCCCACCAAGCCGAAGAUCCAUACGGGCCUUGAGAGAGGGAGCCCGGAGAAGGGAACUGAGAUAAGGUCCCUAGCCCUACGGGGUGCAGCAGUUGCGAAUUCUCUACAAUGCGCGAAAGCGUGAUAGGGGGAUUUCAAGUGUAAGCUUUGCUUGCUUUUGUAUAGUUUAAAUCGCUAUGCGAAUAAAUGGAGGGUAAGAUACGUGCCAGCCGCCGCGGUAAUACGUACUCCAUAAGUGGUGCCCACUAAUAUUGGGCCUAAAGCGUCUGUAGCCGGUCUAAAAAGUUUUUGGUGAAAUCUGCAAGCUCAACUUGUAGGAGUGCCGAAAAUACUCUUAGACUCGAGGCCGGGAGAAGUCAAAGGAAUUCCUGAGGUAGCGGUGAAAUGCUAUGAUCUUAGGAGGACCACCAGUAGCGAAAGCGUUUGACUAGAACGGACCUGACGGUGAGAGACGAAAGCUGGGGGAUCGACCCGGAUUAGAUACCCGGUUAGUCCCAGCCGUAAACGAUGCAGACUAGGUGUCCUAACAGCUACAGGCUGUAGGGGUGCCGAAGGGAAGCCGUUAAGUCUGCCGCCUGGGAAGUACGGUCGCAAGGCUGAAACUUAAUGGAAUUGGCGGGGGCGCACUACAAGGGGUGGAUGCUGCGGUUCAAUUGGAUACGACGCCAGAUAAUUUACCAGGGGUGACAGCAGAAUGAUGGACAGUCUGAAGGGCUUUCCUGACGCGCUGAGAGGUGUUGUAUGGUCAUCGUCAGCUCGUACUAUGAAGCGUCCUGUCAACUCAGGCAACGGGCGAGACCCACAUUCACAGUUGCUAUUCUUCUUUAGGAGGAGCACUCUAUGAAGACUGCGAGGGCAACCUUGAGGAAGGAGUGGGCAACGAUAGAUCAGUAUGGCCCGAAUCUCCUGGGCAACACGCGGCAUACAAUGGUUAAGACAAUGGGCUCCGAACCCGAAAGGGUAAGGCAAUCUCUUAAACUUAACCUCAGUUCGGACUGAGGUCUGUAACUUGGCCUCAUGAAGUUGGAAUCCCCAGUAAUCGGAAGUCAUUAUCUUCCGGUGAAUAAGUCCCUGCGCCUUGCACACACCGCCCAUCAAGCCAGCUGAAUGGGGUCUGGAUGAAAAUUAACUUCUUGGUUGAUUUGAUUCUAGUUUCUGUAAAGCGGGCU